UGCAACUACAUCGCAACUGGCUCAAGUGACAAAACUGUUCGAUUGUGGGAUGUCCAGAGUGGGGAAUGUGUUAGAAUUUUCAUUGGUCACAGGAGCAUGAUUCUGUCGUUGGCAAUGUCACCUGAUGGUCGGUUUAUGGCAUCUGGUGAUGAAGAUGGUACGAUUAUGAUGUGGGACCUAUCAACGGGUCGCUGUGUUACACCUUUGAUUGGACACACAUCAUGCGUCUGGACCCUUGCCUUCAGUUGUGAGGGCUCUCUCCUUGCCUCUGGCUCUGCCGAUUGCACAGUGAAAUUA
rnacentral:misc_RNA from 1 species